rnacentral:rRNA from 1 species
AUACGGAGGAUCCGAGCGUUAUCCGGAUUUAUUGGGUUUAAAGGGUGCGCAGGCGGCCAUUUAAGUCAGCGGUUAAAUCGUGGGGCUCAACCCCAUUCUGCCGUUGAUACUGGGUGGCUUGAUUGCGGUCGAGGUUGGCGGAAUUCGUUGUGUGGCGGUGAAAUGCAUAGAUAUGACGAAGAACACCGAUUGCGUAGGCAGCUGACCAGACCGCAAAUGACGCUCAUGCACGAAAGUGCGGGGAUCGAACAGGAUUAGAUACCCUAGUAGUCCGCACAGUAAACGAUGAAUACUUGUUUUCGGCGAUAUAAUGUCGGAGGCAAAGCGAAAGCGAUAAGUAUUCCACCUGGGGAGUACGCCGGCAACGGUGAAACUCAAAUGAAUUGGCGGGG